AAUAGGCUAUUUAAGAGCGUAAGGUGGAUGCCUUGGCUCUCAGAGGCGAUGAAGGACGUGAUAAGCUGCGAUAAGCUACGGGGAUUGGCACACACAAUUUGAUCCGUAGAUUUCCGAAUGGGGAAACCCACUAUAUUGAAGAUAUAGUAUCCGUUAAGGAGGCAAACCCAGGGAACUGAAACAUCUAAGUACCUGGAGGAAUAGAAAACAAAAGUGAUUCCGCUAGUAGUGGCGAGCGAACGCGGAACAGCCCAAACCAAAAUUGUUUCGGCAAUUUUGGGGUUGUAGGACCACGAC
rnacentral:rRNA from 1 species